rnacentral:lncRNA from 1 species
AUAAUAUAAAAAUAUGUAUUUAAGUUUUGUAAAACAAAGGAAAAUAUGAGGACACGGAGUUCGGACUUUAUGUAAGUUAACACCAAACUGUUGUAAUUCAACCAGUGACAUCUAUGAUCAAAAAAUGAUUGUUUGUUUGCCGUUCUCACAGGUUAGAGGUUCUGUCCUCUUUGAUUUAAUAAAGAAAAAUAAACACACGAAAGUUAUGGCAGAAGAAGAAUCUGAUAACAUGCAGGUGGAUGGAAAUAGAAAAUGUAAGGAAUGCGACAGGGAAAAGAACAGGGAAAAAUGUCUUUUCUCCAGGAGUUGCUCAAAAGUCACCAUACAGACAUGUCUGAGAGCCGCUCCAGAGUCGGUCACCAGAAAUCAUCUGAGCUGAUCGCAAGAUCUCCCAUCGCUGAACUUUCAAUAAGAGUCAGUUCUUUCAGUUAUUCGUGCAAUACAGUUCAGCUGUGUCAUAGUCAGUGACAAAGUGCCCUGUAAAGCUAGCGAUUGCUUUUUCAACAAUUUCCUCCACCAUCAGAUCAUCUGAUAGAACUAGUGGUCAUAACUCACUCAAUAAGUGCCCACGAAGUGAAUCUUCAACAAGGACUAAAGACUGUAAAAUUGGGGACUAGAGAUUAUAGUGUCUCAUUCAAGAUUUUGUUUAACUAGUGGGCUGGCCCACUAUAUAUGUUUAUAUAUAUAUAUUAAUCUUUCUCCUUCAUAGUGUUUCAA